UUUUACGACAUAUUCUCUCUGAUAAGAUGUCAUUUUUGUUAAAUUUUAGUGUCAUGUUGUCUCUAUAGUUGCAUAGCCCUUUCUUGAAGACACAUACAGAGAAGAUGAGAGCUGGGUUUUUGUUUGUGAGACUUCCUUUUUACAGUACCGAUUUUGUUGCAAGGGAGAAUGCAAUAAAAUUAUACAAGGGUUAUUGGGAUAGCUUCUUUGCAAAUGAAGCUGAAUUUGUGGUGAUGUGGCAUAUUCAAUUGAGAGCUCAUAAUCCUAUUACUUCUAACAAAGAUAAUCUUGUUACUAAGCAAAAAAUGAGCUAUGAGGUUAAAUUCAUUAUUUCUAAGUGGAUGGUGGAUGGACAUCCCAUCCAUUUUCUCAUCUCUGUAAGAACUUGUGCAGAGCAGGCACCCAAGUAAGUACAUGACAUCUGCCUUAAUCAUUUAUUAUUGUUGAUAUACUUAAUAUUCAUACGUAUUCUUGUCUUUUUCUGGUUUAGUUGGAGAAUGAAGCAUGGUUUGACUUGUGAGUCAAGUUUGGCCUGAGCAUUUAUCCAUGUUGAGCUAUUUGAUAUCCUUAUAUCACCAUGAAUUAUUCUUAUCAUCAUUCACAGCCUUUACUUUGAAAGAAUUUCAUGGAUCUUGUUUGAUCUCAGAUCCAAUGAAAGAAAGAAGAGAGUGGAAAGCAGAUAAAGCAAGGCCUUGAAGAAACAAGAAGGGGGAGACCAAGUAUAUAUCAAGCAUGAUAGAUAAACCAUUCAUAUAGUUGGUUCUACAGUUGAAUGGAUAUAUUUUCUACAUUAAAAAUACAUGAUAGAUGAACCAAGCAUAUAGUUGCCUAUAAUUGUGGCCUUUUGGUUCCAGCCUUUGAGAUUUUAUUUUAGAUGAAUUUGUUUGUAUCAUAUAGUUGUUUGUCUUGAUGUACUUUGCUAGAAGCGACACCAUUCCCUAAGCUUGGGAAAUUAUUUUUACUCAUGUUCCCAUGUUUCUAUAAUGAAGGAAUUUUACCUUUUGAUAAAACAUUAUUCGUUUAUGUGGAAUUUAAAAGUAUUGAGAGAUGACUUUGAACACUUUUCAAUGAAAGUGGGUU